AAUAGCUCUGGUCUCCAGUAUAUUGGCGAAUUCGGUUCUUUGUACUUAAUUUAUUAGCAUGAUUUCUUUUAAAUAUGUUGUGUACAGACUUAAUUACUUCUCUGUCUACUUUUCUUACUCCAUGUAGGUUUCCCAGAGACUAUGGGUUGAGGAGGAAUUGGAAGUUUGUCGGCUUAGACCUGGUGUCAUUCCAUCAGUGUUAAACUUCCCAGCUCAUCUUGGAAGAGUACGUGCCAGAAAGACCACGACCAAGCAGCCUUGAGAUCUUAGGCAGCAUCUCCCUCAGGUCCCUCUCUAUCUCCCUACACAUCCACCAACCACUGGAACACAUCUCCAAAGUUCUGCUGGACCAGCUCAGCUUCCCCUCAGAAGAAGUUCCACCACCUGCCAGAUGAAGGAGCCUUUUGAGAGGCAGCUGGCAUCGUGAUUGGACUGUACUUUGGUCUGUUCCAAUCCAGCUUCAGCUCCAGAGACGGCAGGCGGGACGAGUCAACGGAGGCCGGGUGGACGAAGGCAUGAAGCUGAGUACAAUCCAGAAAACAACAGAGGAGGAAUGCAGCGGCGCAGGACCAGAACAAACAGAGUAGCAUCGUAAGUCUCUUAGAAAACAUCAUAGUAUAGCCUUUGGUAUGAAAAAACGCCAUUAUAUACAUCGUAUAUUGUACAAAUAACAAGUCAAAGCAAAGAGACAUACAUUGUAGAAUUGUAGUAAUUGUGGGCUGACUGGCCUUGGCAAUGGUCGUCGGAAUGUGAAUAACACUGACCACACCUCACAGAGGUUAUAAGCUGAGGCAACAUCAACCACCACCAGAACUGAAGAAGCCUCUUGGAUGAGAGGUGAAACGUCUUCAAGGAACCUUCUUAAAGUCCAGUUGGAUUGAUUUAAACAACUUUGGAUGACUGAUUUACUGAUUAUCAGUAUUUUAUUUUUUACUGAUUUACGGUAAUAAAUAAAUUCAAAAAUGGCGCUA